AUGAACGCUGGCGGGCGUGCUUAAACACAUGCAAGUUCGUGCGAGGGCGGAGGGGGGCAACUCCUCCAGUCGAGCGGCGGGAACGGGUGAGUAAACAACGUGGGCAAAUCUGCCCGAAAGUGGGGAAAUACCCCAGGGAAAACUUGGGCUAAUACCGCAUGUCCUCGAGAGGCUCGAGAGAGCAUUCGAGGCAAAGCGGGGGUCGCAAGAUCUCGCGCUAGAACCGGAUGGGGCCCGCGCCCGAUAGCUUAGUUGGCGAGGUAACGGCUCACCCAAGGCUACGAUCGGUAGCCGGCCCUGAGAGGGUGAUCGGCCACCAACCGGAAACUGAGACCACGGUCCGGACUCCUACGGGAGGCAGCAGUGGGGAAUCUUGCGCAAUGGGCGAAAAGCCUGACGCAGCAACGCCGCGUGGGAGGAUGAAGGCCCUUUGGAUUGUAAACUUCCCUGUUCGGCUGGGAAGAAAUCGUUGCCGGGUGUCUCAUACCACCGGUAGGUUGACUGUACCAGGCAAAGGAAGCCCCCGGCCUUAAACUCUGUGCCAGCAGCCGCGGGUAAUACAGAGGGGGCCAAGCGUUAAUUCCGGAAUUAUUGGGCGUAAAGGGCGCGUAGGGCGGCCUUGCGUCAGUGUCUUUCCGUGAAAUCCCUCGGCUUAACUGAGGGACGUUGCGGGAAGAAUACUGUCAGGGGCUCGAGUUCCGGAGAGGGGGGUGGAAUUCCCAGUGUAGCGGUGAAAUGGCGUAGAUAUUGGGAGGAACACCGGUGGCGAAGGGCGGGCCCCCCUGGAACCGGUACUGACGCUGAGGCGCGAAAAAGCGUGGGGAAGCAAACGGGAUUAGAUACCCCGGUAGUCCACGCCGGUAAACGAUUGGGCACUUGGUGUCGCGGGUAUCGACACCCUGCGGUGCCGAAGCUAACGCAUUAAGUGCCCCGCCUGGGGAGUACGGUCGCCAAGGCUGAAAACUCAAAAGGAAUUGACGGGGGGCCCGCCACAAGCGGUGGAGCAUGUGGUUCAAUUCGAAGCGACGCGAAGAAACCUUACCUGGGUUUGAAAGAUCAGUCGACCGGGGGCGAAAUCCCCCCUUUCCCGCAAGGGGACGGCUGGUUAGGUGCUGCAUGGCUGUUCGUCAGCUCGUUGUCGUGAGAUGUUGGGUUAAGUCCCGCAACGAGGCGCAACCCCUUGCUGCUAGUUGCCAACGGUUCGGCCGGGCCACUCUAGUGGGACUGCCGGUGAAUAAACCGGAGGAAGGUGGGGAUGACGUUCAAGUCCUCAUGGCCUUUAUGGUCCAGGGGCCACACACGUGCUACAAUGGCCGGUACAAAGUGACGCGAUAGCGCAAGCUGGAGCAAAUCACAAAAAGCCGGUCUCAGUUCGGAUUGGGGUCUGCAACUCGACCCCAUGAAGCUGGAAUCGCCUAGUAAAUCGCGGAUCAGCACGCCGCGGUGAAUACGUUUUCCCGGGCCUUGUACACACCGCCCGUCACAUCACGAAAGUCGGCUGUACCAGAAGCCGGUGUUCUAACCCGCAAGGGAGGAAGCCGCCUAAGGUAUGGUCGGUUAAUUGGGGUG
rnacentral:rRNA from 1 species